UAGGGAAUCUUCGGCAAUGGGCGAAAGCCUGACCGAGCAACGCCGCGUGAAUGAUGAAGGCCUUCGGGUUGUAAAAUUCUGUUAUAAGGGAAGAACGACUUUAGUAGGAAAUGGCUAGAGUGUGACGGUACCUUAUGAGAAAGCCACGGCUAACUACGUGCCAGCAGCCGCGGUAAUACGUAGGUGGCGAGCGUGAUCCGGAAUUAUUGGGCGUAAAGGGCGCGCAGGUGGUUGAUUAAGGCUGAGGUGAAAGGCCACGGCUUAACCGUGGAGGGUCAGUGGAAACUGGUCGACUUGAGUGCAGAAGAGGGAAGUGGAAUUCCAAGUGUAGCGGUGAAAUGCGUAGAGAUAUGGAGGAACACCAGUGGCGAAGGCGGCUUCCUGGUCUGUAACUGACACUGAGGCGCGAAAGCGUGGGGAGCAAACA
rnacentral:rRNA from 1 species